rnacentral:misc_RNA from 1 species
GAUGAAGAACGUAGCGAAAUGCGAUAAGUAAUGUGAAUUGCAGAAUUCAGUGAAUCAUCGAAUCUUUGAACGCACAUUGCGCCCCCCGGUAUUCCGGCGGGCAUGCCUGUUCGAGCGUCAUUUAAACCUUCAAGCUCAGCUUGGUGUUGGGUGACUGUCCGCUUCACCGCGGACUCGCCUCAAAAUUAUUGGCGGCCGGUACAUUGGCUUCGAGCGCAGCAGAAACGCGAACUCGGGCCCGUCGUAUUGGCUCCCAGAAGCUAUCUUCACAAUUUUGACCUCGGAUCAGGUAGGGAUACCCGCUGAACUUAAGCAUAUCAAUAAGCGGAGGA